CUUGGGUCAGGAAUGCAGUUGGAGGUUUGACAGCACAUGGCUUCAGCACGCGCAGGUGCCUCUCCUGCUCUCAGGAAAGACCUGAAGAAUCCCAGCUCCAUGAUCUUGAAGGACUCGGGCCCACCCCCAGGUUUCCAGGACAUCUCGAGAGGAACAGAAACAUGGGGGCACAGCAUGGGGGUGUGCGCAGGAAGCAGAGGCACGGCUUACAGAGAAGCAGAGGUUGGGACUUUUCCUUGGCUGGCAAGAUGAAAUUCAGCCGCCAAGAGGCGCACAGUGCGCACCGUGCUGUCUGCAGCGACAUCUUCUGGCCACUUUUGGAAUAACUUUCCUUUGAGGAAUUGUCUUUAAAGAACGGUUUAGGCAAAAGCCAGG
rnacentral:lncRNA from 1 species